UACGAAGGGGGCUAGCGUUGUUCGGAAUUACUGGGCGUAAAGCGCACGUAGGCGGAUAUUUAAGUCGAGGGUGAAAUCCCGGGGCUCAACCCCGGAACUGCCUUCGAUACUGGGUAUCUUGAGUUCGAGAGAGGUGAGUGGAAUUCCGAGUGUAGAGGUGAAAUUCGUAGAUAUUCGGAGGAACACCAGUGGCGAAGGCGGCUCACUGGCUCGAAACUGACGCUGAGGUGCGAAAGCGUGGGGAGCAAACAGG
rnacentral:misc_RNA from 1 species